ACAGUUGUGGCCUAAUGGUUAGAGAGUCAGACUUGUAACCCGAAGGUGAACCUGAAGGUCGUGGGUUUGAGUCUCAGGCCAGCAGGG